rnacentral:rRNA from 1 species
UUGAACGCUGGCGGCCAUGGCCUUACACAUGCAAGUCCGAACGGCCAGCACGGGGGGCAACCCUGGUGGCGAGUGGCCGAACGGGUGAAGUAACACAUCGGAAACGUACCCAGUUGUGGGGGAUAACCCAUCGAAAGGUGGGCUUAAUACCGGCAUGAUCUCGGGAGAGCAAAGCGGGGGAUUGGGAAACGACCCCUCGCGCGAUUGGAGCGGCCGAUGGUCCCGAUUAGCUAGUUGGUGGGGGUAAAGGCCUACCAAGGCGACGAUCGGUAGCUGGUCUGAGAGGAUGAUCCAGCCACACUGGGGACUGAGGACACGGCCCAGGACUCCUACGGGAGGCAGCAGUGGGGAAUUUUGGGACAAUGGGGGCAAACCCUGAAUCCAGCCAUGCCGCGCGAGUGAAGAAAGGGCCCUUCGGGUUGUUAAAGCUCUUUCGGUAGGAACGAAACGGUUUACGACUAAUACUCGUGACUAAUGACGGUACUUACAGAAGAAGCCACCGGCCUAAACUACGUGCCAGCAGCCGCGGGUAAUACGUAGGGUUGCGAGCGUUUAAUCCGGAAUUACUGGGCGUAAAGCGUGCGCAGGGCCGGUUAUUUAAGUCAGGUGUGAAAAGCCCUGGGCCUUAACCUAGGAAAUUGCGCUUGAGGAACUGGAUAGCUUGGAGUGCGGCCAGAGGGAGGGUGGGAAUUCCAACGUGUAGCAGUGAAAUGCGUAGAGAUGUGGAGGAACACCGAUGGCGAAGGCAGCCUCCUGGGGCCAGCACUGACGCUCAUGCACGAAAGCGUGGGGAGCAAAACAGGAUUAGAUACCCUGGUAGUCCACGGCCCUAAACCGAUGUCGACUGGUUUGUUUGGUGGGGUUAAACCCCAUUAGUAACGAAGCUAGCGCGUGAAGUCCGACCGCCUGGGGAGUACGGGCCGCAAGGUUUAAAACUCAAAGGAAUUGACGGGGACCCGCACAAAGCGGUGGAUGAUGUGGAUUAAUUCGAUGCAACGCGAAGGAACCUUACCUACCCUUGACAUGUACCGAAUCCUGCUGAGAGGUGGGAGUGCCCGAAAGGGAGCGGGUAACACAGGUGCUGCAUGGCUGUCGUCAGCUCGUGUCGUGAGAUGUUGGGUUAAGUCCCGCAACGAGCGCAAACCCUUGUCCCACUAGUUGCUACGCAAGGGCACUCUAGUGAGACUGGCCGGUGGACAAAACCGGAGGAAGGUGGGGAUGGACGUCAAGUCCUCAUGGCCCUUAUGGGUAGGGCUUUCACACGUCAUACAAUGGCGCAUACAGAGGGGCUGCCAACCCGCGAGGGGGAAGCCAAUCCCAGAAAGUGCGUCGUAGUCCCGGAUUUGGCAGUCUGCCAAACUCGACUGCAAUGAAGGUCGGAAUCGCUAGUAAUCGCGGAUCAGCAAUGUCGCGGUUGAAUACGUUUCCCGGGUCUUGUACACACCGCCCGUCCACACCAUGGGAGUGGGUUUUCACCAGAAGCCGGUUUGCCUAAACCGCAAGGGAGGCGCUGACCACGGUGAGAUUCAUGACUGGGGUG